rnacentral:rRNA from 1 species
AGGGGGGGGGUGCUUACCAUGCAAGUCGAACGAUGAAGCCCAGCUUGCUGGGUGGAUUAGUGGCGAACGGGUGAGUAACACGUGAGUAACCUGCCCUUGACUCUAGGAUAAGCCCGGGAAACUGGGUCUAAUACUGGAUAGGAACGUCUACCGCAUGGUGGAUGUUGGAAAGAAUUUCGGUCAUGGAUGGACUCGCGGCCUAUCAGCUUGUUGGUGAGGUAAUGGCUCACCAAGGCGACGACGGGUAGCCGGCCUGAGAGGGUGACCGGCCACACUGGGACUGAGACACGGCCCAGACUCCUACGGGAGGCAGCAGUGGGGAAUAUUGCACAAUGGGCGAAAGCCUGAUGCAGCGACGCCGCGUGAGGGAUGACGGCCUUCGGGUUGUAAACCUCUUUCAGUAGGGAAGAAGCGAAAGUGACGGUACCUGCAGAAGAAGCACCGGCUAACUACGUGCCAGCAGCCGCGGUAAUACGUAGGGUGCGAGCGUUAUCCGGAAUUAUUGGGCGUAAAGAGCUCGUAGGCGGUUUGUCGCGUCUGUCGUGAAAGUCCGGGGCUUAACCCCGGAUCUGCGGUGGGUACGGGCAGACUAGAGUGCAGUAGGGGAGACUGGAAUUCCUGGUGUAGCGGUGGAAUGCGCAGAUAUCAGGAGGAACACCGAUGGCGAAGGCAGGUCUCUGGGCUGUAACUGACGCUGAGGAGCGAAAGCAUGGGGAGCGAACAGGAUUAGAUACCCUGGUAGUCCAUGCCGUAAACGUUGGGCACUAGGUGUGGGGAACAUUCCACGUUUUCCGCGCCGCAGCUAACGCAUUAAGUGCCCCGCCUGGGGAGUACGGCCGCAAGGCUAAAACUCAAAGGAAUUGACGGGGGCCCGCACAAGCGGCGGAGCAUGCGGAUUAAUUCGAUGCAACGCGAAGAACCUUACCAAGGCUUGACAUGUUCUCGAUCGCCGUAGAGAUACGGUUUCCCCUUUGGGGCGGGUUCACAGGUGGUGCAUGGUUGUCGUCAGCUCGUGUCGUGAGAAUGUUGGGGUUAAGUCCCGCAACGAGCGCAACCUCG